UAAAUCAAGAAACCUACAAUAGUAUUAUAUAUCAAGAUUAAAAAGUAUGUUAAAAUUAUACUCAAAUAUGUUUCUAAGACCAAGAUUUUUCAGGGUCUCGGAGAGGGCGACAUCGUAUCUUGUCUCGAAAACUGGAAGAGUAAUAUCUACCAAGGUGUUUUCGACCAUCUUCAUCAGGGAAGAGAGUGAUUCGCUGGAUAAGACCUUGAUCAAAUUUGAUAAUCCAUUUUUCUCGGGGAGCACAAAAAACAUAGCCAAAUUGGGAUUGGCAUAUUGCAUUCGGAGAACUUGGAUCUCUUGAUCUGGAACAGAAGUUGGCAGGUCUCCUAUCAUCUUCAUCUUAGUGCUACCGUAUCGAGCAUUCUUGUGGCCAAACAUCAUUUUAACAUUUUCGACUAUUCCAUCGUCCCUCGUAAAGGCCUGUAAAGUGGUUAACCUAAUAUUUAAUGACACACAAACACAAUGAAUGGCCCCAUUACCUUUGUCUAUAUCAAAACACAACACCCCUUCAAAUAAAAUAAAUCCAACUCAUCUAUGUCUAUUGUUCUGAACUAUGAGCAGAGUCCAGCCAAGAUCCGAUGCAAGACGAUUCAAUAACUUAACGAUAUUGAGAAAAAUCUUUUCAAUGAGAUCAAUCUUCCUUUAUCAAAAUCAAUGAUUACUACGUAAAAUUGAUCUCGUAAACAGAUGUUUUUUAAAAAAUGGAUCAGCUGUUAAAUCGUGUCCGAUUGGAUUCCCACUUUAAAUCUAGCCUUAAUCGGAUACAUGUAUGGGAGAUGUGGGUGUUAUCGAAGUAUAUUUUAAAGCGUUGCCUAGGGGCUCAAUAAACGAAGUUCUUAGCAGCCAUUCUCAUUUCGGUGCAAUAAAUUUGAUCAUCCUAUGUCAGGCAGAAUAGAUGGGUUCUCAGUAUUUCAUCUUAGAUUCUCGAAAUGGGAACUCGCACCAAAGGAACAAUGGAAAUAGUUGCGAAAUUUCAAAUAAAAAAGCUAUUGUUUACAUUUAACCGUUAUGAUUAUUAA